rnacentral:tRNA from 1 species
ACAGUUUGCUUAGUGAAUAAAGCUUUGGACUCCCAAUCCGGAAACGGCGGUUCCAUUCCCGUCACUGU